GACGAACCGUGCGAACGUUGUUCGGAAUCACUGGGCUUAAAGGGUGUGUAGGCGGUCUGUCAAGUCAGGGGUGAAAUCUUUCGGCUCAACCGGAAAACUGCCUUUGAUACUGAUAGGCUCGAGCGGGGUAGGGGUUGCGGGAACUACCAGUGGAGCGGUGAAAUGCGUUGAUAUUGGUAGGAACGCCGGUGGCGAAAGCGCGCAACUGGACCUCUUCUGACGCUGAAACACGAAAGCUAGGGGAGCAAACGGG
rnacentral:rRNA from 1 species